UGUUCCUACGGGAGGCAGCAGUGGGGAAUAUUGCACAAUGGGGGAAACCCCGAUGCAGCAACGCCGCGUGAGUGAUGACGGCCUUCGGGUUGUAAAGCUCUGUCUUCAGGGACGAUAAUGACGGUACCUGAGGAGGAAGCCACGGCUAACUACGUGCCAGCAGCCGCGGUAAUACGUAGGUGACGAGCGUUGUCCGGAUUUACUGGGCGUAAAGGGAGCGUAGGCGGAUUUUUAAGGGAGAUGUGAAAUAGUCGGGCUCAACUUGAGGGCUGCAUUUCAAACUGGAAGUCUAGAGGGC
rnacentral:rRNA from 1 species